rnacentral:rRNA from 2 species
GAUGAGCUCGCGGCCUAUCAGCUCGAUGGCGGGGUAACGGCCCACCAUGGCGAUGACGGGUAGCUGGUCUGAGAGGACGACCAGCCACACUGGAACUGAGAUACGGUCCAGACACCUACGGGUGGCAGCAGUCGAGAAUUUUUCACAAUGGGGGCAACCCUGAUGGAGCGACGCCGCGUGGGGGAUGAAGGCCUUCGGGUUGUAAACCUCUUUCGGCAGGGAAGAAGCGAAAGUGACGGUACCUGCAGAAGAAGCACCGGCUAACUACGUGCCAGCAGCCGC